rnacentral:rRNA from 1 species
UGGGGAAUAUUGCACAAUGGGGGAAACCCUGAUGCAGCGACGCCGCGUGAACGAAGAAGGUAUUCGUAUCGUAAAGUUCUGUCCUAUGGGAAGAUAAUGACAGUACCAUAGAAGAAAGCUCCGGCUAAAUACGUGCCAGCAGCCGCGGUAAUACGUAUGGAGCGAGCGUUGUCCGGAAUUAUUUGGCGUAAAGGGUACGCAGGCGGUUUAAUAAGUCGAAUGUUAAAGAUCGGGGCUCAACCCCGCAAAGCAUUGGAAACUGAUAAACUUGAGUAGUGGAGAGGAAAGUGGAAUUCCUAGUGUAGUGGUGAAAUACGUAGAUAUUAGGAGGAAUACCAGUAGCGAAGGCGACGUUCUGGACACAAACUGACGCUGAGGUACGAAAGCGUGGGGAGCAAACAGG